UACUGACCAAUUAGAUAAAGCAGACAAAGUACUUUGAAGAUCUGAAAGCAUUAUACAGAUGUUAAGAACUACUAAACCAGAUUCAUCAGCAGCCUGAGCACAGUAUCUCUAAAGGAGCAAGAGCUGAAGGAAAGGGGCCUGACCAAAAAAGAUUACAAAGCACGAGGAGAAACCUCCUAUGUGCCGUGCUUCCAGGAAGAAAGCCUCCCCUCCUUGCAGCACACUCUGAUUACGCAAGGUCAUCUGGAGAAGACACCCCCCUGUUGCCACCUGUUCCUGAAGGCUGCUCUGAAGUGACUUGGCAAAGGGAAUCAAGCAUGGUCGCACCCACUGUGUGAAAUACUCUUUCCUCUUUUGUCAGACAUGCAGCAACAAAUACCAGUUUUAGGCACAUAUUACAGA